AUGAUGCUCUGCUCUCCCCUUGCCCUUCUCCUGGGCACUUUCUUCGGGGUCAGAUCUCAGACUAUUCAUCAAUGGCCAGCGACCCUGGUGCAGCCUGUGGGCAGCCCGCUCUCUCUGGAGUGCACUGUGGAGGGAACAUCAAACCCCAACCUAUACUGGUACCGACAGGCUGCAGGCAGGGGCCUCCAGCUGCUCUUCUACUCCAUUGGUGUUGACCAGAUCAGCUCUGAGGUGCCCCAGAAUCUCUCAGCCUCCAGGCCCCAGGACCGGCAGUUCAUCCUGAGUUCUAAGAAGCUCCUCCUCAGUGACUCUGGCUUCUAUCUCUGUGCCUGGAGUAUCACACUGAGCUGGGUGGGGCAGACAUCUGUGCAAAAACCCCACCCUCUCCUGAGCCCUAACCAUACUCCCCAGGAGCCCUCACCCAGGGACCGGGUGGAGGAUAUUUGUAACUAG